GCCUGGGUGGCUCAGUCGGCUGAGCGUCUGACUUCGGCUCAGGUCAUGAUCUCGCAGUUCGUGGGUUCGAGCCCUGCAUCAGGCU
rnacentral:tRNA from 1 species